rnacentral:lncRNA from 1 species
CAACGGUUGUAAAAAACUGAAAAUAGUGAUUCCAACACCAUCCAGAGACCCAGAGAGUGCAUUCUUGGGGCGAGAGUCAUACAUUCUUUACUCAGUUCUUUAGGUGAGCAGAAUAAGGGAUCUAGGAAGCGGAUAGAAAAAAAUUUGCAUGAAGCCUAGCGUGGUGGUGCAUGCCUGUCAUACCAGCACUCGGGAGGCUGAGGCAGGUGGCUCUCCACGAGUUCGAGGCCCGCCUGAGUUACAUAGUGAACUGGAGACCUGCCUAAAGUACAUACAGAGACCCUGCCUCAAAAAAAAUUUUUUGGAUGAGCAUCCUGUCGGUGAGGUUCCAGCUAGAGCCUUGCAAUCGAAACCCGGCAACAGGCCUGAUUGCACCUCCAACCCGUACCCACGUCUGGACUCCGAUCCGCCAGCCUCAGUUUUGGCCUCUGUCCUUUUCGUUCACCUGCCCCUGUUCCUAGCCCUUGGAAGAACCCAGCAGCAUUCCCGCUGGAGGAAACCAGGUUCCCUACUAGGAGCUCCAAGCGCCNNNNNNNNNNNUUCCGGCCCUGCCUCGGCGAGCCUGAGACUUGUUACCUUCCGAGUCGUGCGGGCCACUCCGGCUUUUAAGGAAUCCAGUUCCGCUGUUGGAGCACAGACCUGGCGAUUCCAGCGCGUUUUCGAGAGCACUUAG